rnacentral:lncRNA from 1 species
GACAGUUUUUGAACAAGACGUAUUUUACUAAAGGACUCGUGGAUUGCGGGGUCUCACGACAUCACCUCAUAGAUGCAGUCGAUGGUUUGCUCCAGAUUCAGGUUUGUUUCCAGGAAGAAACCCUAACAGAAAUUCAGAAGCAUGGGAGCUGCAUUCAAUUAGGACGUGGAUCCAUGAAAUGCUCGUCUCAGGACCUUCUAGAAGAAUGAGCUGGGACCCACGUUCCGAGUCCUGCUGGAACCAGAGACCGAGUCUAUGCAAGUCAGAAUCAACCUCCAUCCGCCUCCAUCCUUUAUGAGACCUAAGACGUGAUGCAGCUCCAAUGGGAAAUAUCAGUUGUGUCUCUACCAAGGAUGCAGAAAAAGACAAGCUCCUGUGGGCGUUCUGCUUCUGUCUGUCAUACCAACACACCUGUCACUUCUGUAGGUCCCUAUGGAUGCAAGAGGACCUCCUUCUUUCCCAGGUCCACCCUGCACAGAUACAAUUUAUCACUGUUCAUGGGCUCUAUGGGCUGCCUCCAGCUCCUUGAUGGUGGGACAGGACCCA